UAUCAAAAUCAGUUAAAAAAAAUUUGUGUUUUUGUGAUUAAAAUUAAAAGUCAAUGGCAGAAAAAAUGCAAAAUGGAGCUGUGCUCCUUUUUGCAUUACAAAAGUGCGGGGGCGCAGCCACCACACCCCAACUAAUUGAGAAAAUAUGCGACCUCCUCAAUUGCACAAUAACUAGUGUGGCCCCAACCGUUAGAGCGAUGAUUAAAAGAUCUUUAGAACUUGGAUUCAUUCAGAGACGUGCUGGGCUUAUCACAAAAUGCAAUGUUGCUGAAAGAAUUCGAGCCAGAAGGAGGGAAAUAGAUAGAGAGCAAAGACAGCAGAGUAAGAUUGCUAAAAAAAGAGCGGCUAAGGUAAAGAGAAAAAAAAAUAGAAAAAACAAAUAUAGAGCUCCCAGUAAGCCAAAACGUAAGAAACGUGGAAAAGCCGCUAAUUUAAAGCAAAGUCAGAGUUUCUCAGUGGCGCCAAAAACUGCAAAGAAGCGCAAGCCUCCAGGACCAAAAGGUAAGAAGCGCAAUAAACGUGGAUUACCUCCAAAAAAAGGUGCUAAUCUGAAGAGAAAACCAGCAAAGAAGCGCGAAGCUAAAAAGCGUAAAGCUAAGCGCGCUAAAAAAGGUAAAAAGUAAGAAAAAGAAAGCCAAAAGACAGUACCCACCCACCCAGCAGUUCAAAACUAUGACAUCUAAGAUAAGAGACCAUGAGAGGUAGAGUAAAUGGGCAUGGGUGGACGUUACUGUAGUGAAAAAUGAACUGCGCAAGGACUUUCCAAGAAUCUAAUUCAUGGUCAAAACCUAGUUAUUACACAAACAAAUCGUGGGCCAACUAACUUGCUGAAGAUGGAUUUGUGGUUUAUAGUUAUGUAGUUGUCCACGUAUUUUCACAAAAUCCAUCAUUAGAAAUGGUAAAUAUCCUUGGUAUUCAUCUAUUAAUAUAUCUCCAAAACUCGGUCCAUCGGAUUAAUACUUAUAGUGUUGAAAUGCGUUUUUCUAAUAACUAAAGAGGAUUAACUAGCUUGAAAACUUUCGGUGACAAAAUAACGAUAAUACGUUUUAAUAAGAUAUGCUUGCUAACACCAACAUCUUAAUUCGUUUAUACGAAGGGUCUAUGUACUCCUGUUCUAUGGAAUUAAAGGGGCUUAAGGAUGUUACAAGUUUUUUGUCAUAUUUGAGAUGGCGAGAGAUGGUUGGCAUCAGCUUUACUUUGGAGACUGAGAAUAUCUGCUUUAUUGUACUCCACAGUGCUGUCGCAUUACAACAAUUGACGAAAAUAUGUUGUUAAUGUUUUGUCUUUUGUCCUCGCAAAUACCACAUCCAUGAAAUAUUUUUAAAGAAGGCCUGCGUUUUGCUUUGCUGAUAUAUUGAUAUGGAUCUUUUGACUCAACUGCUUAGUGUACAUAAUUUAAUGUACCCGAAGCAUACAUAUUCAACUCAUCUUCAGUUAUCUGAGUAAGUAAACCUAGUUAAUUGUUCCCACUGAUUUGAAUAUAGACGCCUUGAAUCCUUAAUCAAACUGAAUGAUGUGUUAAAACCUAAACAGUUUACUGAAUACCCAGUUAAGGUGCCAUAUCCGAACGGUUGGAGCUGAUUGGAAUACUGUUGUUGUAUACAUUUUCAAUUUUUGAUAUGUUCCAAUUAUAUAUCUGCUAUUAUUAGAGCGAACCGUAUAAGCACAUAACGUAAAAUUUCGUAUGCGGAAAAUGCCUCAAAAAGUAGUCAAUCCCUAAAAAUCUUUUUUGGAUUUCAAAUUUGGAUUUAAGAAAAAUGUAAACACAAAUGAAA